rnacentral:tRNA from 1 species
GCAGCCGGUGGCGCGGUUCCCGCUGUACUCCUUGCAGGAGCUCGGGACGGGCCCGGCCGAGCCGCCGCUGGUGCCGCUCGAGUCGGUUUUC